UACGUCGGGCGCGAGCGUUGUCCGGAUUUAUUGGGCGGAAAGCGCUCGUAGGCGGCUUGUUGCGUCGACCGUGAAAACCCGUGGCUUAACUGCGGGCUUGCGGUCGAUACGGGCGGGCUGGAGUUCGGUAGGGGAGACUGGAGUUCCUGGUGUAGCGGUGAAAUGCGCAGAUAUCAGGAGGAACACCGGUGGCGAAGGCGGGUCUCUGGGCCGAUACUGACGCUGAGGAGCGAAAGCGUGGGGAGCGAACAGG
rnacentral:rRNA from 1 species